rnacentral:misc_RNA from 1 species
GAUGAAGAACGCAGCGAAAUGCGAUAAGUAAUGUGAAUUGCAGAUUUCAGUGAAUCAUCGAAUCUUUGAACGCACCUUGCGCCUUGUGGUAUCCCACAAGGCAUGCCCGUUUGAGUAUCAUUAAAUCAUCAACUCUAAAACCUUUGUGGUUUUUUUUAGAGCUUGGUCUUGAGGGUUUUGCAGGCUUUUUUUUUUUUUUCGAGUCUGCUCCCUUUAAAUGCAUUAGCGAGACUUCCCUAUGCUGAACCGUCUCUUUGACGUGAUAAUUAUCUGCGUCGAAUUUUGGUUCUCGUUGGGCUUGCUUCUAAUCGUCUGUUAAAGACAAAACGGAUUUGGGUGCAUAUAUGCGCCUUUUUCCAAAACCUUUUUUUGAUCUCAAAUCGGGUAGGACUACCCGCUGAACUUAAGCAUAUCAAUAAGCGGAGGA